rnacentral:rRNA from 1 species
CACGUAGUUAGCCGGGGCUUCUUACUCAGGUACCGUCAUCUUCUUCCCUGCUGAUAGAGCUUUACAUACCGAAAUACUUCUUCACUCACGCGGCGUCGCUGCAUCAGGGUUCCCCCCAUUGUGCAAUAUUCCCCACUGCUGCCUCCCGUAGGAGUUUGGGCCGUGUCUCAGUCCCAAUGUGGCCGGUCAUUCUCUCAAAUCGGCUAUCGAUCGUCGCUUUGGUGGGCCGUUACCCCCGCAACUGGCUAAUCGAACGCGGGUCCAUCUCAUACCACCGGAGUUUUUACCCCUGAGUCAUGCGACUCUGUGGUCUUAUGCGGUAUUAACAGUCGUUUCCAACUGUUAUCCCCCUGUAUGAGGCAGGUUCCCCACGCGUUACUCACCCGUCCGCCACUCGAUCUACCGGAUUCCAUCCGAAAACUUCCUCCUGUAUCUCUCGUUCGACUUGCAUGUGUUAAGCACGCCGCCAGCGUUCAUCCUGAGCCAGGAUCAAACUCU